rnacentral:rRNA from 1 species
CAGCAGCCGCGGGAAUACAGAGGGUGCGAGCGUUAAUCGGAUUUACUGGGCGUAAAGCGUGCGUAGGCGGCUUCUUAAGUCGGAUGUGAAAUCCCUGAGCUUAACUUAGGAAUUGCAUUCGAUACUGGGAAGCUAGAGUAUGGGAGAGGAUGGUAGAAUUCCAGGUGUAGCGGUGAAAUGCGUAGAGAUCUGGAAGAAUACCGAUGGCGAAGGCAGUCAUCUGGCCUAAUACUGACGCUGAGGUACGAAAGCAUGGGGAGCAAACAGGAUUAGAUACCCGAGUAGUCCCUGUCUCUUAUAC